AAGAAAAAGAAAACCAACAAGGAAGAGGGUAAAUGUUCAAGAAACUCUUCUCCAAAUCCAAAUUCCACUUGGAUUCCACUUCGGGAGGAAAGUCCAUGUGAAGACACAGUGAGAAGGCAAGAAGGCAUCCAUCUGCAAGUCAGGAAAAGAGCCCUCAUCAGAAACCAAAUGUUGUGAGAACUUGAUCUUGGACUUCCCAGCCUCCAGAACUGUCUCACAUGAAGGAAGAUGUUCACCCUGAGGACAAGGCCCCUGCAUGCAUUCUCAGGACGUUCAUGUUUUCUUUACCCAUUCCCUUCCAUUCAAAUAGCUCUUGUCAGCGACCCAUUUUGUGAAUGGAGACAUUUCUGCUUUGAAGUCAUAAUUUAUCCUGCAAGAGCUGCUAAAAGAAGCACUUUUAAACUCAGAUCUGAGCGAAGGCUGGGAAUUGGUUGUUGCAAGUAGAAAAUGAGUCACAGAUGUACAAAGACAUUAGAAGGCUGCCUGCAACAUAGAAGCAAAAUGCUCCAGGAGGCUGACCUGAAUGACAUACAUCAGUGAACUCCUUUGGCCUCUGUCAGACCCACCAAAUCAGAAAAUCUUACACUCCUACAAGAAAUUCAUGAUGUUACAUUUAAGAAAACUUCUUGAAUGUACAUGACAAAGAAUGAACAAGCAUAUUUAUUGCAACAUUGUUUAUAAUAGCAAUAAAGGUAAGCAACUUAAUAGGGGACUAAAUAAAUUGUGGUAUAUUUUUACAAUGACAGAGUAUACAGUAGUAAAAACAGUGAGGUGGAGCCCUAAGUGCUAACUUGGAAAAAGCUUCAGGAAAUAUCACUGAGUGAAAAAGGAGAUUGCAGAAUGAUAAAUGUAAUGUGAUGCAUUUUAUCAGGGCUAUUUAGGAAAAUUAUGGCCUAAUAGAAAUGACCUGGGCUGAGUGAGAGGAGCAGAAAUGGGGAGAGUGAUUAUUGCCCCUCGCUUGCUUUGCCUCCUUUAGCCAUUUCUUCCUGUUCUCUCAAUCAUUCUUUCCCCUCUUUCACUCCACAUUCUUUCCUUUCUUCAUCACUUCUUUUCAUAGUUAAAAUUGAAGCCAAGUCUACCCUCUAGGAAUUGUAUGUGUUUGUGCUCAUUAACAACCAGUUGAACUCUGUUGAUUAGCAAUAUGGUCAAUCCAAACUGGUUGUUAAAGUGUCAAAAUAAAUGGAUCCAAUACCUGCACCCGGGCUCACAUGAUCUCGUUGAUGAAUAAUUAAUAUAGCCUCAAUAUGAUGCAUUAUAUGGAAACCUGCCUGCUUUGGCUACUGUGAAAGCUUAAAAAUAAACCAACCACUUGACAAAGUUACAAAAAAAUAUAUAAAAAAGAAAUUUGCAGUAUGGGUUGAAUGAAUAAUAAAUAUAUAGUGUUUGCAUUAAAGAAAGUACCAGUGGCAUUGUACUUUGUGUUAUUAUUAGAGUGUGUAGAUUAUUUGAUUUGAAGAAUUCUAGUUUAAUGACUUCCUUUUGCACUGAAGGAAAUAGUGGCCCAGGGAAGUAAGGUCGUAAAGCAGGCCUGUUCAGUGGUCUUCCGGUAACACACUUUGUAGGUAAUAGAGAUGGUCAUUCUCCUUUCCUUUCGGAAUAGUUCCAUCUCUCUCUGCUAUGGUAGGAACCAAAUGUGUGGAUCCUCUUUUACUCAUAGGUCUGUAUCUGGGGCACAAGCCUUAUGGCGUGGAUAGAAAUGGCUGACACAGUGCUGAAUUGGCUUAGGAAAAGGAAGACCGAUGCUGGGUUUCUCUGGAGCUCUGUGUCAUAGUUUGAAGAUGACUCCAAUGCCAGAGCCUCUGGGAACAAAAUAAUAUGAGAAAUGAUCACAGAAGCGGUCAUUUUAAGCUAGAAGAAACUCAGAAGAAGGGUUACCAGAUUCUUACAAAGCAUCUAAUUAAACAUGAAUUUUAGAUAAACAAUGAAUACUUUUAAAGUAUAAUUAUACCCCAGAUAUUGCAUGGAACAAACUUAUACUAAAAAUUAUUCAUUUCUUAUCUAAAUUCAAAUUAAUUGGGUCUCAAGUGUUUUUAUUUGUUAAGUCUGUCUAGCCCAACAAGAUCUAUGUUGAAAUAUGUAACUCAAAAUGUCUUAUAACCUGAAGAACACACUAUUCUCUAUGUUUCUUUGUCUCUUUGACCCCAACGUUUUAAAUUAUGACCAAUACUUUAAACUCCAAAGGUAUUGGAUAUUAGAUCAAUUCAAGGACAAAUUUUGUAAAAACUGGAGUGUUCUGCAGCAGAACAGAUUGCCUCAAAAAUAGUGAAUUCCUCUGCCAAGGAUACGCCUGUAUCAACAUUUGUAAUGACAAAAAACUGGGAGAAACAUAAAAGGUCAUGAAUAAGCGACUGUUUAAAAAAAAUUAGGGACACGUCUACGCAAUGGAAUUCUCUACAGAUUUUUUUUCUAGCCUCAGCUGCUGUUAUAAUAGGACUGUCACCACUGUCAUAACCUGACCAAUCAACUAGUUUCCCAACAGACAAGCUGGUCUUUCUGAAACCUUAGAAGCAUUCAUCAUGCACUUCAGAAUGGUUUUCUGUCUGUACAUAAUGGGGAUUUCCAAGCAGAUCUUUAAGUAAAAAAAGCAUAACAAGCAGUAUGCAUGUUGACAUAGUUUGGGUGUUUGUUGAAAUGUGAUCCUUAACAUUGCAGGUGGGGCCUGGUGGAAGGUGAUAGGGACAUGCGGGUGAAUCCUUCAUGAAUGGCUUGGUGCCAUCCUUGUUCCCCUCUCUCUUGCUCCUGCUCUGGCCAUGUGACGCAUCUGUUCCCCCUUCUCUUCCGCUGUGACUAAAAGCUUCUUGAGGCUCUCACCAGAAGCAGACGCUGAUGCCAUGCUUCUUAUACAGCCUGCAGAACCAUCAGC
rnacentral:lncRNA from 1 species